rnacentral:rRNA from 1 species
CCCUACGGGGUGCAGCAGGCGGAGUUCUUUCUCGAGCAGCAGGAAUCGACGGAUACGGGGGCGCUGAAGGAUUUUCUCGGGAGCGUCCGUUACCCGCUCUAUUUCCUGGAUUUCGAGACGUACAUGGCCGCCGUCCCCCUGUAUGAGGGCACGUCCCCGUAUCAGCAGGUGCCGUACCAGUAUUCAUUGCACUACCGGGAAAAAGAAACGGCUCCUUUAGGCCAUUAUGAAUUCCUCGCGGAGCCGAAUGUCGACCCUCGGGAGGAGGUUGCCGCAAACCUUUGCAGGCAGAUCCCGGAUGACGCCUGUGUCCUGGCCUUCAAUGCCCAGUUCGAGAUCUCCCGGUUAAAGGAAUUGGCGGGGGAGC